UGCCAGGGGCCAUGGACUGCGGACCGGCGAACCCCGCCAGGGCAGGAAUGCAGCAACGGUAGCCAGCUCCACUUUGCCGUGGUUCCCUGGUGUCC
rnacentral:SRP_RNA from 1 species